rnacentral:lncRNA from 1 species
ACCCCAUUUACAUUUUGAUUGAACUAAAGCCCACCAAUGUUGACAAUGUGAGAAAAAAAAAGAAUCCAGUACAUGAGAUACACGGUCUGCAUGAGCACUGCCGCGUGGCUCACCUGAGCAUCAUCACCAUCACAAAACUCCUUCCACAGGAACAAAUCAAGGCCAAUCAUGGUUUCUUAAGUCACCAACCCAGUUUAAUCUCCAAGAACAACACCUCGAUCUUAUUGAUCCAAAGAAAAGCUUCAUCUAUUUCUAACCUAUUACGCCUACAUCAACGGGACAG